AAUUUUUAGUUUAUUUAAUUAGUGAUGCGAUAAAAUUGAGUAUAUAUGUCGUGUGCGAAUUUUUGAAAUAUCUUUUUCUACGCAAUGUGUGAACAUAGUGAGAUUAAAUGUUCUCCUAACAAGUUGUUACGGAUUUGAUCAAAUGCGAGAAAUUGGAUGAUGGCAAUUAUGAUAUUUGGCACCGUAAAAUUCAAUAUGUU
rnacentral:lncRNA from 1 species